rnacentral:rRNA from 1 species
UGGAUGGAGAGUUUGAUCCUGGCUCAGGACGAACGCUGGCGGCGUGCUUAACACAUGCAAGUCGAACGAUGAAGCCUGCAACUUGUUGUGGGUGGAUUAGUGGCGAACGGGUGAGUAAUACGUGGGUAACCUGCCCUCCUUUUUGGGAUAAGCCUUGGAAACGGGGUCUAAUACCGAAUAUUCUGGCGCUCUCGCAUGGGGGUGUUGGGAAAGCUUUUGUGUGAAGGGGGAUGGGCUCGCGGCCUAUCAGCUUGUUGGUGGGGUGAUGGCCUACCAAGGCGGUGACGGGUAGCCGGCCUGAGAGGGUGACCGGCCACAUUGGGACUGAGAUACGGCCCAGACUCCUACGGGAGGCAGCAGUGGGGGAUAUUGCACAAUGGGCGAAAGCCUGAUGCAGCGACGCCGCGUGGGGGAUGAAGGCUUUCGGGUUGUAAACCUCUUUCGCUAUCGAACAAGGCCCGCUUAGGGUGGGUUGAGGGUAGGUGGAGAAGAAGCGCCGGCUAACUACGUGCCAGCAGCCGCGGUA